AGUGAACGCUGGCGGUAGGCCUAACACAUGCAAGUCGAACGGCAGCACAGUAAGAGCUUGCUCUUACGGGUGGCGAGUGGCGGACGGGUGAGGAAUACAUCGGAAUCUACUUUUUCGUGGGGGAUAACGUAGGGAAACUUACGCUAAUACCGCAUACGACCUACGGGUGAAAGCAGGGGAUCUUCUGACCUUGCGCGAUUGAAUGAGCCGAUGUCGGAUUAGCUAGUUGGCGGGGUAAAGGCCCACCAAGGCGACGAUCCGUAGCUGGUCUGAGAGGAUGAUCCGCCACACUGGCACUGAGACACGGUCCCGACUCCUACGGGAGGCCGCAGUGGGGACUAUUGGACAAUGGGCGAAAGCCUGAUACAGCCAUACCGCGUGGGUGAAGAAGGACUUCGGGUUGUUAAGCCCUUUUGUCGGGAAAGAAAAGCAGCAGGUUAAUCCCCCGCUGUUCUGACGGUACCCAAAGAAUAAGCACCGGCUAACUUCGUG
rnacentral:rRNA from 1 species